GAUGAACGCUGGCGGCGUGCCUAAUACAUGCAAGUCGAGCGAAUGGAUUAAGAGCUUGCUCUUAUGAAGUUAGCGGCGAACGGGUGAGUAACACGUGGGUAACCUGCCCAUAAGACUGGGAUAACUCCGGGAAACCGGGGCUAAUACCGGAUAACAUUUUGAACCGCAUGGUUCGAAAUUGAAAGGCGGCUUCGGCUGGCACUUAUGGAUGGACCAGGGUCGCAUUAGCUAGUUGGUGAGGUAACGGCUCACCAAGGCAACGAUGCGUAUCCGAGCGGAGAGGGUGAUCGGCCACACUGGGACUGAGACCCGGCCCAGACUCCUACGGGAGGCAGCAGUAGGGAAUCUUCCGCAAUGGACGAAAGUCUUACGGAGCAACGCCGCGUGGGUGAUGAAGGCUUUCGGGUCGUAAAACUCUGUUGUUAGGGAAGAACAAGCGCUAGUUGAAUAAGCUGGCACCUUGACGGUACCUAACCAGAAAGCCACGGCUAACUACGUGCCAGCCGCCGCUGUAA
rnacentral:rRNA from 1 species